rnacentral:lncRNA from 10 species
UGACUUUUGACUAAUUGCCUAAAGACAAUCCACUGCUUACCGCUAUUGGAGAUACUUAAGAAAAGCGCAGGACAUAGCCUGGUAUGAAGGGAAUGACUGGUGGAAUUAAGAAGUCAGGUUUCUCACUCUGCAAGUUACAAACAACCACUGGCCUCAGUUUCCUCAUAUUUAUCAAACAAGCAGUUAAAUGGAUUGAUCUUUAAUGUCCCUUCAGUGUAAAAAAGUUCAUUAUGCUACAGGUAUUUGUGCUUUGAAAAUAGCUUUAAAGAGGGAAUUUCAGAUUCUGGUUUGAUCACUUAAUCUAUUUUUAAAGCAAGUGUGUAUGUCUCCUAGGUGCUGAUUCGGAGUAGAGUUCUAAGUCCUG